rnacentral:rRNA from 1 species
UACGAAGGGGGCUAGCGUUACUCGGAAUUACUGGGCGUAAAGGGCGCGUAGGCGGCUCGGCAAGUCAGGCGUGAAAUUCCCGGGCUCAACCUGGGGACUGCGCUUGAGACUGUGGGGCUAGAGGACGGAAGAGGGUCGUGGAAUUCCCAGUGUAGAGGUGAAAUGCGUAGAUAUUGGGAAGAACACCGGUGGCGAAGGCGGCGACCUGGUCCGUUACUGACGCUGAGGCGCGACAGCGUGGGGAGCAAACAGG